GACGAACGCUGGCGGCGUGCUUAACACAUGCAAGUCGAGCGGUUAGGCCCUUUCGGGGGUACGACGAGCGGCGAACGGGUGAGUAACACGUGGGUGACCUGCCUUUAGCUCUGGGAUAAGCCUGGGAAACUGGGUCUAAUACCGGAUAUGACUCCAUGAUGCAUGUUGUGGGGUGGAAAGCCUUGUGCGGCUGGAGAUGGGCCCGCGGCCUAUCAGCUUGUUGGUGGGGUGAUGGCCUACCAAGGCGACGACGGGUAGCCGGCCUGAGAGGGCGACCGGCCACACUGGGACUGAGACACGGGCCCAGACUCCUACGGGAGGCAGCAGUGGGGAAUCUUGCGCAAUGGGCGAAAGCCUGACGCAGCGACGCCGCGUGAGGGAUGAC
rnacentral:rRNA from 1 species